AAAGUCGUAACAAGGUUUCCGUAGGUGAACCUGCGGAAGGAUCAUUAAAAAUUGGACUCCAUUGGUGAGUUCAUUAAUAAUCCCUACCCUUUGUGAAUUUGUUUGUUUGAAUAAUUUUUUUUCCAAAAAAAAAUUAUUGAAUGUCUUUCCCUGUUUUGGUGGAGCCUGUAAAGUGAAACCAGGCAGGGGAAUGGCAAACAAUAAUUAUUUUUGAAAAAAGACCUUUUUUAAAAUUAAACUUUUUGUAUUCAUUUGUCUAAAAUUAUUUUUAUAAUAUAAAAACAACUUUUGACAAUAGAUCUCUUGGUUCUCGCAACGAUGAAGAACGCAGCAAAAUGCGAUAAGUAGUGUGAAUUGCAGAAUACGUGAAUCAUCGAAUCUUCGAACGCAUAUUGCACUUUUUUAGUUUACUAAAAAAGUAUGUCUGUUUGAGUAUCAGUAAAAUAUUCUCAUAAAAAACAUUGUUUUUUUAUGGUUAUGAGUGUUUUACAACGAUAACAAGUUGUUUCACUUUAAAUUCUUUGUUAUCAAAAAAAUCAUUAAAAGCUAAUUUUAAAGAUUUUUUAAAAUUGGAUAAAAUUUUCCCGUAAAAAGGAAUAACCUAAACAAUUUUAAAAAAUUAAAAUUGGUUUGAUUUUUUUUGAAACCCAAAGGAAAAAAAACGAAAUUAACUUGAUCUCAAAUCAGAUAAGAGUACCCGCUGAACUUAAGCAUAUCAAUAAGCGGAGGAAAAGAAACUAACUAGGAUUCCCUCAGUAACGGCGAGUGAAGCGGGAAGAGCUCAAAUUUGAAGUCUUCAAGGUUUACCUUGACGAAUUGUAGUUUAAAGAAGUGUUUUCUGUUGGAGUUUUGGUAAAAGUUCUUUGGAAAAGGACAUCAUAGAGGGUGAGAAUCCCGUAUUUGACCAUUAUCUCCAGCUUUGUGAUACACUUUCAAAGAGUCGGAUUGUUUGGGAAUGCAGUCCAAAAUGGGUGGUAAAUUUCAUCUAAAGCUAAAUACUGGCGAGAGACCGAUAGCGAACAAGUACCGUGAGGGAAAAGAUGAAAAGAACUUUGAAAAGAGAGUUAAACAGUACGUGAAAUUGUCAAAAGGGAGGCGUUUGACACCAGUGUUGUUUUCUCGAAAAUCAAUUAAAAAGAGUGAUUUUGUGUUGUAUUGACUUAACAGCUUUGCAUUUCAUUUUCUUGCUUUUUUUAAUGCACUUUUCGUUUAACAAGUCAACAUCAGUUUCUUUUGUUGUAAAAGGUCAUUGGAAGGUGGCUUUCUUUUCGGAGAAAGUGUUUAUAGCCUUUGACUUCUGCAAUCGGAGAGACUGAGGUCUGCAGCGCAGAUCCUUCGGGGUUAGAUACAUUUGUGCUAAGUUAUAGCCUUUUAUAGACAACUUGUUGACUAUGAUCAGUCUUGUAGCUUACUCGCUUAUGCUAUUUUACCUACGCUUAGGAUGUUGAA
rnacentral:misc_RNA from 1 species